rnacentral:rRNA from 1 species
GACGAACGCUGGCGGCGUGCUUAACACAUGCAAGUCGAACGGAAAGGCCCUGCUUUUGUGGGGUGCUCGAGUGGCGAACGGGUGAGUAACACGUGAGUAACCUGCCCUUGACUUUGGGAUAACUUCAGGAAACUGGGGCUAAUACCGGAUAGGAGCUCCUGCUGCAUGGUGGGGGUUGGAAAGUUUCGGCGGUUGGGGAUGGACUCGCGGCUUAUCAGCUUGUUGGUGGGGUAGUGGCUUACCAAGGCUUUGACGGGUAGCCGGCCUGAGAGGGUGACCGGCCACAAUGGGACUGGGAUACGGCCCAGACUCCUACGGGGGGCAGCAGUUGGGAAUAUUGCACAAUGGGCGGAAGCCUGAUGCAGCAACGCCGCGUGCGGGAUGACGGCCUUCGGGUUGUAAACCGCUUUCGCCUGUGACGAAGCGUGAGUGACGGUAAUGGGUAAAGAAGCACCGGCUAACUACGUG